GACGAACGCUGGCGGCGUGCUUAACACAUGCAAGUCGAACGGAAAGGCCCUGCUUUUGUGGGGUGCUCGAGUGGCGAACGGGUGAGUAACACGUGAGUAACCUGCCCUUGACUUUGGGAUAACUUCAGGAAACUGGGGCUAAUACCGGAUAGGAGCUCCUGCUCCAUGGUGGGGGUUGGAAAGUUUCGGCGGUUGGGGAUGGACUCGCGGCUUAUCAGCUUGUUGGUGGGGUAGUGGCUUACCAAGGCUUUGACGGGUAGCCGGCCUGAGAGGGUGACCGGCCACAUUGGGACUGAGAUACGGCCCAGACUCCUACGGGAGGCAGAAGUGGGGAAUAUUGCACAAUGGGCGGAAGCCUGAUGCAGCAACGCCGCGUGCGGGAUGACGGCCUUCGGGUUGUAAACCGCUUUCGCCUGUGACGAAGCGUGAGUGACGGUAAUGGGUAAAGAAGCACCGGCUAACUACGUG
rnacentral:rRNA from 1 species